CAGUAGCCGCGGUAAUACGAGGGGGGCAAGCGUUGUUCGGAAUUAUUGGGCGUAAAGGGUGCGUAGGCGGUUUGAUAAGUCAUCUGUGAAAUCUCUGGGCUCAACCCUGGAAUGCCGGUGGAAACUGUCGAGCUCGAGUCCGGAAGAGGCAAGUGGAAUUCCUGGUGUAGCGGUGAAAUGCGCAGAUAUCAGGAGGAACACCAAUGGCGAAGGCAGCUUGCUGGGACGGUACUGACGCUGAGACGCGAAAGCGUGGGGAGCAAACAGGAUUAGAUACCCCCGUAGUCCCUGUCUCUUAUAC
rnacentral:rRNA from 1 species